UACGAAGGGUGCAAACGUUGCUCGGAAUCAUUGGGCGUAAAGCGCACGUAGGCGGCCUUGCAAGUCGGAUGUGAAAUCCCACGGCUCAACCGUGGACGUGCAUCCGAAACUGCUCGGCUCGAGUAUGGAAGAGGGUCGCGGAAUUCCAGGUGUAGCGGUGAAAUGCGUAGAUAUCUGGAGGAACACCGGUGGCGAAGGCGGCAUCCUGGACCAACACUGACACUGAGGAGCGAAAGCCAGGGGAGCAAACGGG
rnacentral:rRNA from 1 species